CUCAUUCCUCAUUUCCUCUCGAAGUCUCGAGCAGUCGAGCCUCCAGUUCUCCUUUCGAUCCGUUUUGUGACCUAAACCCUAAACUCAUUCCUCAUUUCCUCUCGAAGUCUCGAGCCUCCAGUUCUCCACUCUCCACCUUUCCUUCACUACUUCACCGACUGAGGCUCCAUCAAUUCAGCUCAUAAGCAUCACCGAGACACCGACCCAUUCCCAAUUUCCCAAAGUACCUGCCUUCCUGGUCACCGAGACUGCCUUCCUGGUCCAGCCGUCAGCUCGGGGAAGUGGUUUCUUCGUCGUCAGCUUCGCCGUGGUUUCGAGUCGCCAGCUUCGCCGUGGUUUCUCCGUCGUCAGCUUCGCCGUUGCUUCAAACACAUAAGACUGCAAAUGUAAGCCAUGGAUUCUUAGUUUCUUACAGUUUUGCACUUUGAGGAAGUAUAGACAAACUUCGAUUUCAUUGCCGAUGGUUUUGCAAUUUUGAUUUGUUUGAUUGGGAUUGUGAGAUUACAUGUGUAGGAUUAGCCGAUUAGGACUUAGGAGUUCAAUUUGUUCGAUUGGGUUUGUGAGAUUACAGUUGAGUUCGUGAAGAUCGAUUGGGUCAGUGGGUUUUGUGAAAUUUGUUCGAUUGGGUCAGUGGGUUUUGUGAAAUUUUGAUACUUACGCUUAACAAUUGGAUUUUUAGAGUUGAAGAGUGAGUUAAGCAAGAACUCGGAUGCUUCAAUGUUGUUGUGCUUCUAAAUGUAGAAUCUGAAUUGCACUCUCUAAUGUAAAAAUCAAUGUCUGUGUCUAAAAGGAGGCAGAGUGAUUGACAGGAGGCAGAAUGUGGAAAAGAAAACGAGAUCAUGAGGCAGAAUGGGAAGGAACAAGAGAAAAAAGGAAUACAAUUCAAGAAGCUGAUGGCUAGGCAGAUUUUCAAGAAGCUGUGUGCACAUUUUCAAUGAAGUGUCAAAUUGUGGACUGUAAUGGAUUAUUAAAUUAUGCAGAUUUGGUCUUCUUUCA
rnacentral:lncRNA from 1 species